rnacentral:rRNA from 1 species
AUUGAACGCUGGCGGCAUGCCUUACACAUGCAAGUCGAACGCCCCGCAAGGGGAGUGGCAGACGGGUGAGUAACACGUGGGAACGUACCCUUUGGUUCGGAAUAACUUGGGGAAACUCAAGCUAAUACCGGAUAAGCCCUUAUGGGGAAAGGUUUACUGCCGAAGGAUCGGCCCGCGUCUGAUUAGCUAGUUGGUGAGGUAAUGGCUCACCAAGGCGACGAUCAGUAGCUGGUCUGAGAGGAUGAUCAGCCACACUGGGACUGAGACACGGCCCAGACUCCUACGGGAGGCAGCAGUGGGGAAUAUUGGACAAUGGGGGCAACCCUGAUCCAGCCAUGCCGCGUGAGUGAUGAAGGCCUUAGGGUUGUAAAGCUCUUUUACCCGGGACGAUAAUGACUGUACCGGGAGAAUAAGCCCCGGCUAACUUCGUGCCAGCCGCCGCUGUAA